GGUUAUGGCCCAGUGGCAGAGCACUUGCCUAGCACGCAUGAGGCACUGGGUUCUAUCCUCAGCACCA
rnacentral:tRNA from 1 species